rnacentral:tRNA from 2 species
GCCUUUGUAGCUUAGGGGUAGAGCGUUGCACUUGUAUUCUAAUAUUGGAAUGCAAAGGUCACUGGUUCGAUUCCAGUCUGAGGCA